GACGAACGCUGGCGGCGUGCUUAACACAUGCAAGUCGUACGGUAAGGCCCUUUCGGGGGUCCACGAGUGGCGAACGGGUGAGUAACACGUGAGUAACCUGCCCACAACUUUGGGAUAACGCUAGGAAACUGGUGCUAAUACUGGAUAUGUGCUCCUGCUGCAUGGUGGGGGUUGGAAAGCUCCGGCGGUUGUGGAUGGACUCGCGGCCUAUCAGCUUGUUGGUGGGGUAGUGGCCUACCAAGGCGGCGACGGGUAGCCGGCCUGAGAGGGUGACCGGCCACAUUGGGACUGAGAUACGGCCCAGACUCCUACGGGAGGCAGCAGUGGGGAAUAUUGCACAAUGGACGCAAGCCUGAUGCAGCAACGCCGCGUGCGGGAUGACGGCCUUCGGGUUGUAAACCGCUUUCAGCAGGGACGAAGCUUUUUGUGACGGUACCUGCAGAAGAAGCACCGGCUAACUACGUG
rnacentral:rRNA from 1 species